rnacentral:rRNA from 1 species
CCCAAGAGAUCGGGAUAACACCUGGAAACAGAUGCUAAUACCGGAUAACAACAGAUGAUGCCUAUCAACUGUUUAAAAGAUGGUUCUGCUAUCACUCUUGGAUGGACCUGCGGUGCAUUAGCUAGUUGGUAGGGUAACGGCCUACCAAGGCGAUGAUGCAUAGCCGAGUUGAGAGACUGAUCGGCCACAUUGGGACUGAGACACGGCCCAAACUCCUACGGGAGGCAGCAGAU